rnacentral:rRNA from 1 species
UACGUAGGGGGCGAGCGUUGUCCGGAAUCAUUGGGCGUAAAGCGCGUGUAGGCGGUCCGGUAAGUCCGCUGUGAAAGUCGGGGGCUCAACCCUCGGAUGCCGGUGGAUACUGUCGGGCUUGAGUACGGAAGAGGCGAGUGGAAUUCCUGGUGUAGCGGUGAAAUGCGCAGAUAUCAGGAGGAACACCAAUUGCGAAAGCAGCUCGCUGGGACGGUACUGACGCUGAUGCGCGAAAGCGUGGGGAGCGAUCCGG